rnacentral:lncRNA from 1 species
UUUUCAACGGAAGCUGGGUGAGUGACAGACAGCUUCAAAAGUUCCAAGCUAGCCUCGCAUGGCCUUUGUGUACUUUAUUUGAGGAGAUCAUAAUCUUACUAUUACUAGUAAUGGUUCCUUUUGAAGCCACCAUGUGAUGGCACCUAGGAUCCUAGGUGGCACUCUAGAAAAAGAGAGAAAUCCUAAAAAUUCUCACAAAAAGCAAAAUAUAUUGCCA